rnacentral:rRNA from 1 species
AGUGAACGCUGGCGGUAGGCCUAACACAUGCAAGUCGAACGGCAGCACAGUAAGAGCUUGCUCUUACGGGUGGCGAGUGGCGGACGGGUGCGGAAUACAUCGGAAUCUACUUUUUCUUGGGGGAUAACGUAGGGAAACUUACGCUAAUACCGCAUACGACCUACGGGGGAAAGCAGGGGAUCUUCGGACCUUGCGCGAUUGAAUGAGCCGAUGUCGGAUUAGCUAGUUGGAGGGGUACAGGCCCACCAAGGCGACGAUCCGUAGCUGGUAUGAGAGGAUGAUCAGCCACACUGGAACUGAGACACGGUCCAGACUCCUACGGGAGGCAGCAGUGGGGAAUAUUGGACAAUGGGCGCAAGCCUGAUCCAGCCAUACCGCGUGGGUGAAGAAGGCCUUCGGGUUGUAAAGCCCUUUUGUUGGGAAAGAAAAGCAGCAGGUUAAUACCCCGCUGUUCUGACGGUACCCAAAGAAUAAGCACCGGCUAACUUCGUG